rnacentral:rRNA from 1 species
CUGGGAGGACCAUCUCCUAAGGCUAAAUACUCUCUAGUGACCGAUAGUGAACCAGUACCGUGAGGGAAAGGUGAAAAGCACCCCGGAAGGGGAGUGAAAUAGAACCUGAAACCGUGUGCUUACAAGUAGUCAGAGCCCGUUAAUGGGUGAUGGCGUGCCUUUUGUAGAAUGAACCGGCGAGUUACGAUUUGAUGCAAGGUUAAGCAGUAAAUGUGGAGCCGUAGCGAAAGCGAGUCUGAAUAGGGCGUUUAGUAUUUGGUCGUAGACCCGAAACCAGGUGAUCUACCCUUGGUCAGGUUGAAGUUCAGGUAACACUGAAUGGAGGACCGAACCGACUUACGUUGAAAAGUGAGCGGAUGAACUGAGGGUAGCGGAGAAAUUCCAAUCGAACCUGGAGAUAGCUGGUUCUCUCCGAAAUAGCUUUAGGGCUAGCCUCAAGUGAUGAUUAUUGGAGGUAGAGCACUGUUUGGACGAGGGGCCCCUCUCGGGUUACCGAAUUCAGACAAACUCCGAAUGCCAAUUAAUUUAACUUGGGAGUCAGAACAUGGGUGAUAAGGUCCGUGUUCGAAAGGGAAACAGCCCAGACCACCAGCUAAGGUCCCAAAAUAUAUGUUAAGUGGAAAAGGAUGUGGCGUUGCCCAGACAACUAGGAUGUUGGCUUAGAAGCAGCCAUCAUUUAAAGAGUGCGUAAUAGCUCACUAGUCGAGUGACACUGCGCCGAAAAUGUACCGGGGCUAAACAUAUUACCGAAGCUGUGGAUUGUCCUUUGGACAAUGGUAGGAGAGCGUUCUAAGGGCGUUGAAGCAUGAUCGUAAGGACAUGUGGAGCGCUUAGAAGUGAGAAUGCCGGUGUGAGUAGCGAAAGACGGGUGAGAAUCCCGUCCACCGAUUGACUAAGGUUUCCAGAGGAAGGCUCGUCCGCUCUGGGUUAGUCGGGUCCUAAGCUGAGGCCGACAGGCGUAGGCGAUGGAUAACAGGUUGAUAUUCCUGUACCACCUAUAAUCGUUUUAAUCGAUGGGGGGACGCAGUAGGAUAGGCGAAGCGUGCGAUUGGAUUGCACGUCUAAGCAGUAAGGCUGAGUAUUAGGCAAAUCCGGUACUCGUUAAGGCUGAGCUGUGAUGGGGAGAAGACAUUGUGUCUUCGAGUCGUUGAUUUCACACUGCCGAGAAAAGCCUCUAGAUAGAAAAUAGGUGCCCGUACCGCAAACCGACACAGGUAGUCAAGAUGAGAAUUCUAAGGUGAGCGAGCGAACUCUCGUUAAGGAACUCGGCAAAAUGACCCCGUAACUUCGGGAGAAGGGGUGCUCUUUAGGGUUAACGCCCAGAAGAGCCGCAGUGAAUAGGCCCAAGCGACUGUUUAUCAAAAACACAGGUCUCUGCUAAACUGUAAGGUGAUGUA